UACGGAGGGUGCAAGCGUUAAUCGGAAUUACUGGGCGUAAAGCGUGCGCAGGCGGUUUGUUAAGUCUGUCGUGAAAUCCCCGAGCUCAACUUGGGAAUUGCAAUGGAUACUGGCAGGCUGGAGUAUGGUAGAGGAAGGUGGAAUUCCCGGUGUAGCAGUGAAAUGCGUAGAGAUCGGGAGGAACACCAGUGGCGAAGGCGGCCUUCUGGACCAAUACUGACGCUGAGGCACGAAAGCGUGGGGAGCAAACAGG
rnacentral:rRNA from 1 species